UUUUUUCUUUUUCUUCUUCUUCUCGCCGACUCCCUCAUCCCAUGGUCAUCUCUCCCUAUUUAUCCGUCGCUCUCUUAUGCUCACCAUCUCACUCUUACCUCGUGUAGCACUACACGACCAGAAGGAGUCUUGUUGCCGCACGCCUUGUUAACCACUGCUCCGAACGCACACCGCCAGUCGUAGCAAGUCACACAAGGUUGCGUUGUUGUCCAUCGUUCUUCAAGCGGUGUCUUAGUUGUCGUUUUUCAUUCGUCAAGUCGCUGCUCUCGCCUAUUGUGACGUCGCCGAUACAAGCCUUGUCUCAAUUGUAGUUCAAGUUUCAGUUUGGUACUUUCUGAAUCGGGUUUUAGGACGAGUUAGCUGUGGUAUAGCCGUCGUGUGUGGUAACUCGCCAGAAAUCAAGAAAGUCCCCAUUCAUAUCCAUUCUUGAGCUAGAUUUUCCGCUUAAAAUUUGGAUUCUUGGGUGAUUUUAGCCAUUGUCCAGCCUAUAAGAAGCUCACAAUUGGGCAUUUUCAUACAACUUGGGCCAAAUUUAAAUGGGGAAACGUAUAAUCCCGGUGGAUUGAGUCAUUGAUAAGUCUUGCCAUUCUUCAAAAGCAACGACGUAUCCUUUGGUGGCUGCCCGAACUCACCCUGACAGUUGUCAAUCUCUGUCAUGGCAUCAUAAGUUACAAUAUUGACGGCAUUAAAGUCACCAACUGCCAAGUCCUUUUGGGCAUUUUCAAUGUGGCCAACAAUUUUAUCGUAGCUCUCAGCGCAAGACGAAUAUCGUUGCUUAAGUUGAGGAUUGGUGGUGGUUUUUUCCAGUGAGUUGGCUAGUGUCAAAGACUUGCGAGCAUUUGUAUUGGCAAGGUUUAAGGUAUAUAUAACCAAGCCUUUUAGAUCUGUAGUGCCUGCAGAUUUCAACACAUUUGAACAAAAUGGUGGGUUUGAGGUGUUUGGACAGAUGGUGGAAACGUCGUCGAUAGAUGAUGCCAUAUUUGAAAUGAUGGUGAACAAAAGAACUCCAAAGAGAGAGAUAAUAAUGAAACAAGAGUUAUUGGCCAUUUUAGUUUCUUUGUUGUUUGAUAGUAUUGUGUCCUUAUUGA